CUAAGAAUAUUGCACAAUGGACGAAAGUCUGAUGCAGCGACACCGCGUGAGGGAUGACAGCUUUAGGGUUGUAAACCUCUUUUAUUAGGGAAUAGCAAGGAAGGUACCUAAUGAAUAAGCUACGGCUAACUACGUGCCAGCAGCCGCGGUAAUACGUAGGUAGCGAACGUUGUCCGGAAUCACUGGGCGUAAAGGGUCCGUAGGCGGUUUAAUAAGUCUCAUAUGAAAGCUCCAAGCUCAACUUGGAGAUGUUGUGAGAUACUGUUAGACUUGAGGCUGUUAGAGGCAAGUGGAAUUCCAGGUGUAGUGGUGAAAUGCGUAGAUAUCUGGAGGAACACCAGUGGCGAAAGCGACUUGCUGGGACAGUUCUGACGCUAAGGGACGAAAGCGUGGGGAGCAAACCGG
rnacentral:rRNA from 1 species